rnacentral:rRNA from 1 species
UACGUAGGGUGCGAGCGUUGUCCGGAAUUAUUGGGCGUAAAGAGCUCGUAGGCGGUUGAGUAAGUCGGGUGUGAAAACUCUGGGCUUAACCCAGAGCCGCCACUCGAUACUGCUCUGGACUUGAGUUCGGUAGGGGAGCAGGGAAUUCCUAGUGUAGCGGUGAAAUGCGCAGAUAUUAGGAGGAACACCGGUGGCGAAGGCGGCUCACUGGUC